rnacentral:tmRNA from 1 species
GUAAAGGUUUCGACGGGGAUCUUGAAGCUGGUGAAGCUAUCCGCAGGAAAGCGUUAAAUUCCAAACCUAAAUAUAAACGCUAACGAUAAUUUAGCAUACGCUGCCUAAUUGCAGCAGUCUGACCUGGAGCACCUACACUUUAGGAUUCGGGCUUCGAUUAUGUAGGAAACGACGUUGCCAAAGCUUUGCGGUACCGGACGUAUUAUGAAGCUACUGAAGAUACAAGGAUGUUGGUUUCCGUGUAUCAGAGGGAAUGUUAAAUAAUCAACUAUGAUAGUAGAAGAACAGGGAAUGGGUUUUCGGACAGGGGUUCGACUCCCCUCUGGUCCA